UACGUAGGGCGCAAGCGUUGUCCGGAAUUAUUGGGCGUAAAGAGCUUGUAGGCGGUUUGUCGCGUCUGCUGUGAAAUCUCAAGGCUCAACCUUGAGCUUGCAGUGGGUACGGGCAGACUAGAGUGUGGUAGGGGAGACUGGAAUUCCUGGUGUAGCGGUGAAAUGCGCAGAUAUCAGGAGGAACACCGAUGGCGAAGGCAGAUCUCUGGGCCGUAACUGACGCUGAGGAGCGAAAGCAUGGGGAGCGAACAGG
rnacentral:rRNA from 1 species